UACGAAGGGGGCUAGCGUUGCUCGGAAUCACUGGGCGUAAAGGGUGCGCAGGCGGUUCUGCAAGUCAGGCGUGAAAUCCCCGGGCUUAACCUGGGAAUUGCACUUGAAACUACGGGACUGGAGUAUGGCAGAGGGAGGUGGAAUUCCACGUGUAGCGGUGAAAUGCGUAGAGAUGUGGAGGGACACCGAUGGCGAAGGCAGCCUCCUGGGCCAAUACUGACGCUCAUGCACGAAAGCGUGGGGAGCAAACAGG
rnacentral:rRNA from 1 species